ensembl:snRNA U6 U6 spliceosomal RNA
UUGUCUCAAAAUAAUAAUAAUAAAAUAGGAACAAUGCAGAGAAGAUUAGCAAGGCCCUUGCACGAGGAUGUCAUGAAAAUUUACAUACAAAGCAUUCCAUAUAUUU